AUUGAACGCUGGCGGCAGGCCUAACACAUGCAAGUCGAGCGGAGCGGCGGACGGGGGAGUAAUGCCUAUGUAUCUGCCUGGUCGUGGGGGAUAACGUCCGGAAACGGGCGCUAAUACCGCAUCCUCUUAGAUGAGCCUAGGCCGGAUUAGCUAGUUGGUGGGGUAAAGGCCUACCAAGGCGACGAUCCGUAACUGGUCUGAGAGGAUGAUCAGUCCCACUGGAACUGAGACACGGUCCAGACUCCUACGGGAGGCAGCAGUUGGGAAUAUUGGACAAUGGGCGAAAGCCUGAUCCAGCCAUGCCGCGUGUGUGAAGAAGGUCUUCGGAUUGUAAAGCACUUUAAGUUGGGAGGCGUUACCAACAGAAUAAGCACCGGCUAACUUCGUGCCAGCAGCCGCGGUAAUAC
rnacentral:rRNA from 1 species